rnacentral:rRNA from 1 species
GACGAACGCUGGCGGCGUGCCUAAUACAUGCAAGUCGAACGCAGUGGGGACGGGUGAGUAACACGUUGGUAACCUCCCAUCAGAGGGGAUAACACUUGGAAACACGUACUAAACCGAUACGUAUGGCUGGACCCGCUGUGAAUUGGCUAGUUGUUGAGGUAACGGCUCCCCAAGGCCACGAUGCAUAGCCUACCUGAGAGGGUGAUCGGCCACACUGGGACGGAGACACGGCCCAGACUCCUACGAGAGGCAGCAGUAGGGAAUCUUCGGCAAUGGACGAAAGUCUGACCGAGCAAUGCCGCGUGAGUGAAGAAGGUUUUCGGAUCGUAAAACACUUUCGUCAGAGAAGCGGUAGAUAAAGAGAAAGCCACGGCUAACUACGUGCCAGCAGCCGCGGUAAUAG